CUCAGUUGCCCUGGGUGCCCCUUCACACCAGCAGCCCCUCCCAAGGCACAGCUGUAGGCAGGUCCCUGCACAGGCAGGCAGCUGGCUGGUCCUUACGCACGAGCUAGGCUUCUGCACUCACUCAUGCUGUCUUCUCUUUUUUUCAUUGUCUUGGCAUCCUAGAACCCUGUGUCCACCCCAGCACCAUCCUGAGCCUUCGGGAAGGGAGCAGGUGACUAACUGGCCUGCAUCUCAAGCAAGAAUCAUUAUGUUUUCAAAGGGACUCACCUCUGCUCUGUGCAUUUCUUCCUGGAUGGUGCCUGGUGAGGAGCAAAGCACAGGUUGUUCUCUGGGAGCAUCGCUGCUCAAGAAGGACUGUGCUCCUGGAAGAACACCAGGGCUGAUGGCCAGAAACCAAGCUGAGUCAGCAGAUGGAGAAGUACAGCUUUUCACCAAAUUUCUAGGACUAAGCCAGCUCACCGUCCAGAAGGCCUUGCUGAAGAAGAAGUUGGGUGCACCUGAGGGAGAAUCCUGAGAUGCCGUCACCCCGUUCCUCAAAGCCUUGUGUGAGUGACCCUGUGCUCACUUACAAGAGUGACUCUGUUUGAGUAAAAUAAAGUAUCGCAUUCUCUGAGUGGUUCCUAGAUUUCCUAUAAAAUUAAUACUAUUCCUAGAUGCCUCUCCCCAAGCCCUGUAACCUGCCAUCCACACGGUGGCUAAUGGUAGUCAGGUGUUUUGACCAAAGUUUGUGUCGUUGUGGCCUCAUGUGUACCCGACUUGAGGUUGUUUUUGAUGUUCAGAAUUUAUUGAAUUUAUUGUUAGAAUUGCCAUGAUAUUCAGUGGCAGAAUCCCCAUGCUGCUCCUGACCCAGAAACUGAGGGCUGUAACGGUGGAAAGGGGCAUAUGGAAGACCUUAACAAGUCCCCGACCUACCAGGACAUUCGACCAAAUGCAAUACAUAUCCUCAGAUAAGUUAGAGAUUAAAUCCAUCAUCAAAGGCUUGGAAGAUUCAGAGGAGGAAAUAGAAACUCAAGACUUACACAACUAUCUGUUUCUUCCUAUGCAGAAGGCAGAUCUUGGAGAAUGACUGUGGAUUGUUAUAAAUUAAGUUAACUGGUGACUCUAAUGGAAGCUGCUGUUCCAAAUGUGUUCUCUUUACUGGAGCAAAUCAACAUAAUCCCUGGAACGCGAUUCUUAGCUAUUGACUUGG
rnacentral:lncRNA from 1 species